AUUGAACGCUAGCUACAGGCUUAACACAUGCAAGUCGAGGGACCGGCGCACGGGUGAGUAACACGUAUCCAACCUGCCCUUUACUCGGGGAUAGCCUUUCGAAAGAAAGAUUAAUACCCGAUAUAAAGGAUGGGGAUGCGUUACAUUAGUUUGUUGGUGAGGUAACGGCUCCCCAAGCCUGCGAUGGAUAGGGGUUCGGAGAGGAAGGCCCCCUACAUUGGAACGGAGAACCAGACCAAACUCGUAGGGGAGGCAGGAGAGAGGAAUAUUGGGCAAUGGGCGCUAGCCUGAACCAGCCAAGUAGCGUGAAGGAGGAAGGCGUAUGAGUCGUAAACUUCUUUUAUAGAAGAAUAUGUAUUAGAUGAAUAAGGAUCGGCUAACUCCGUGCCAGCCGCCGCGGUAAUAC
rnacentral:rRNA from 1 species